rnacentral:rRNA from 1 species
UACCAGCACCCCGAGUGGUCGGGACGUUUAUUGGGCCUAAAGCCUCCGUAGCCGGUUCUACAAGUCUUCCGUUAAAUCCUACUGCUUAACAGGUGGGCUGCGGAAGAUACUAUAGAGCUAGGAGGCGGGAGAGGCAAGCGGUACUCGAUGGGUAGGGGUAAAAUCCGUUGAUCCACUGAAGAACACCAGUGGCGAAGGCGGCUUGCCAGAACGCGAUCGACGGUGAGGGAUGAAAGCUGGGGGAGCAAACCGG